rnacentral:rRNA from 1 species
CUCGACCUCAGAUCAGA